rnacentral:ncRNA from 1 species
AAUCGUUAUGGUUUAAUUAUUACGAUUAAUUAAAAGGGAAUUAAGUGGAAAUCUUAAGCGGUCACGCCACUGUAAAACGGACGAAAAUAACAAAGCCACUGAGGAAACUUGGGAAGGGUUAUUGGAGAAUGAAGUUGAGUCAGGAUACCUGCCAUAAAAACA